CAUGGCCAGAAAUGGAGUCCAAAAUGGCUGCCAAGCAUGCGCAUUUUGACUCGAAAUAAAAAUUCAAAAUGGCGUCUUCUUAUAUAAUUUGAAUGGGAAUAAUGCAAAAUUUGUAUUUUUGAUAACUUACGGUUGAGAAAUCCAAAAUGUGCAUAUCUAAAACUUCACCGAUUCUGUCCAACUUUUAUCCGUAAAAUAAUUGGUAUCACUCGAGUUGUCUAAGUAUGUUCCCGAGCAAUCAAUAUCUCUGGUUAGUCUUUGCAUAGAAAAGUAUGUGAUUUCGACAUAUUCGGUAUUUUGCAGGUCCAAUUUCAACUCGUUCUUUACAGAUAUCAUCAAAUGUGCAUAUCUGAAUUGCUUCGUACAGUAUUCCUCUUUAUUAUUGUCACUUGUAUGAAGCGUAAAAGUAUACACUAGUAUGUUCCCCAAAGCGAUGAAUUGCAUGUAUUUUGUAGAGAGGUGUCUGUCCAAUUGUGAUGAAAAAUGCACCAUAUUUUUAACAAAAAUAUCACAAAUUUCGCACCAAGAGUUAUAUUUGUUGUCCGCCAUUGCUUUUAUAAAGCUGUUGCUGCGUUACAAUGGUUUUAACCGCUGUCAAUAUAGGCUGUAGUCUCGUAAACAUUCUAAAAUUCGCGGGAUUUCGUAAUAAUUUUGAUUUGCCGACUUCAAAACAUUUAUAACUAUUGAGUAUUGGUAGACUUUUGAAAUUUGAGCAUCGAUCAAGACUCGGUUGGCGUAAAGUUUGUUAUAUUUUAUAAUUUUGCUUGUUUUCUAUAUAUCUGGUUGUAUUUGCAAUGUCGGAUAUUCCGCCUUUGCGCCCUAUGUAUACUUGUUUGCAAUGGAAAUUAUGUGUUGAAAGCCAUUCAUUAGCUUAUCUCUUCUUAUUUUCAAUUU